rnacentral:rRNA from 2 species
GGACCUCCAAUCAGUCAAGAUUACCCGCUGAAA